UAGGGAAUCUUCGGCAAUGGACGAAAGUCUGACCGAGCAACGCCGCGUGAGUGAAGAAGGUUUUCGGAUCGUAAAACUCUGUUGUUAGAGAAGAACAAGGACGUUAGUAACUGAACGUCCCCUGACGGUAUCUAACCAGAAAGCCACGGCUAACUACGUGCCAGCAGCCGCGGUAAUACGUAGGUGGCAAGCGUUGUCCGGAUUUAUUGGGCGUAAAGCGAGCGCAGGCGGUUUCUUAAGUCUGAUGUGAAAGCCCCCGGCUCAACCGGGGAGGGUCAGUGGAAACUGGGAGACUUGAGUGCAGAAGAGGCGAGUGGAAUUCCAUGUGUAGCGGUGAAAUGCGUAGAUAUAUGGAGGAACACCAGUGGCGAAGGCGGCUCUCUGGUCUGUAACUGACGCUGAGGGUCGAAAGCGUGGGGAGCAAACAGG
rnacentral:rRNA from 1 species